GACGAACGCUGGCGGCGUGCUUAACACAUGCAAGUCGAACGAUGAAGCUGGAGCUUGCUCCAGUGGAUUAGUGGCGAACGGGUGAGUAACACGUGAGCAAUCUGCCCUUGACUCUGGGAUAACUGCGGGAAACUGUAGCUAAUACCGGAUACGACACCUUGGGGCAUCCCGGGGUGUGGAAAGAAUUUCGGUCCAGGAUGAGCUCGCGGCCUAUCAGCUUGUUGGUGAGGUAAAGGCUCACCAAGGCGACGACGGGUAGCCGGCCUGAGAGGGUGACCGGCCACACUGGAACUGAGACGCGGUCCAGACUCCUACGGGAGGCAGCAGUGGGGAAUAUUGCACAAUGGGCGAAAGCCUGAUGCAGCAACGCCGCGUGAGGGAUGACGGCCUUCGGGUUGUAAACCUCUUUUAGCAGGGAAGAAGCGAAAGUGACGGUACCUGCAGAAAAAGCACCGGCUAANUANGUGCCAGCCGCCGCGGUAA
rnacentral:rRNA from 1 species